AUAAUAUAUUUUAUUCAAUAGUAUUUUUCGUCGGGUCUACGUGUGAAUUUAAAAGUAUGCACUUUCAUCGUGAAAACUGUAGAAGUGUCGAAUGAAGCAAGAAAGACAACAAAAUAUUCACUGUGCGAUGAAAAGAGAGAGAAAUUUUUUUUGUUUUUAACUUCACAUGCCGUGAGCGUGAAACCGACUAGAAAGCUAAAGAAACCCGAAGAUAGAAAAAGGAAUUUUCUGUGGAUUACGGCUUUUUUUUCGUAAGUUUAGCAAAAACUUGCUCCCGAUAAACAUUUCACAUUUAAGCUUUGAAAAAUUCGAAACAUUGGAGAACUGAGAUGGUGCUUUCACCGGAGCUGGGAAUUGGAAAUGGAGGUGGAAUUUUCUAUCCAUCACCUUCGACAAACUUUGAAGACCAGGGAUUUCAGUCGCUUAGAUGGUGUUUUCGUCGGAGCAUGAAUGGGUAAACGGUCCUCCAACAUCGUUUGUCAGCAAUUCUCCGGUUCAUCAUAGUUCUUGAGAAAUGGCAUUUCGGAGAUGAUUUCCCAUGUUUCCAGAAAACAAUAUCUAUGGCGCCAAGUAAGGCGCAAUAUUUCCUACAAUACGUCCUUGAUGAGCGACGUUGAAAGUAGUUUUAGGAGCUGCUACGUAAUUGUACAUGCUGCAUAAAAUUAUGAAAUAAACAAAGCAAAA